GACGAACGCUGGCGGCGUGCUUAACACAUGCAAGUCGAACGAAGAGCGAUGGACGCUUGCUUCUAUCAAUCUUAGUGGCGAACGGGUGAGUAACGCGUAAUCAACCUGCCCUUCUGAGGGGGACUACAGUUGGAAACGACUGCUCAUACCGCAUACGAUCUAACCUCGGCAUCGAGGAUAGAUGAACGGUGGCCUCUACAUGUAAGCUAUCACUGCAGGAGGGGAUUGCGUCGGAUUAGUUAGUUGGAGGGGUAACGGCCCACCAAGGCGAUGAUCAGUAGCCGGUCGGAGAGGAUGAACGGCCACAUUGGGACUGAGACACGGCCCAGACUCCUACGGGAAGCAGCAGUGGGGAAACUGCCGCAAGGGACGAAAGUCUGACGGAGCAACGCCGCGUGAGGGAUGACGGCCGUCGGGUUGUAAAGCUCUGUUAAUCGGGACGAAAGGCCUUCUUGCGAAUAGGGAGAAGGAUUGACGGUACCGGAAUAGAAAGCCACGGCUAACUACGUG
rnacentral:rRNA from 1 species